AAGUCGUAACAAGGUUUCCGUAGGUGAACCUGCGGAAGGAUCAUUAUUGAAAUAAACCUGAUGGGUUGCUGCUGGCUCUCUCGGGAGCAUGUGCACACUUGUCAUCUUUAUAUCUCCACCUGUGCACCUUUUGUAGAUCUGGAUAUCUUUCUGAAUGCCUGCAUUCAGGUUUGAGGAUUGACUUGUCUUUCCUUACAUUUCCAGGCCUAUGUUUCUUCAUAUACACCAUGUAUGUUAUAGAAUGUAAUGAAAAGGGCCUUUGUGCCUACAAACUUAUACAACUUUCAACAACGGAUCUCUUGGUUCUG
rnacentral:misc_RNA from 1 species